ACUCGAGUGGCGAACGGGUGAGUAACACGUGGGUGAUCUGCCCUGCACUUCGGGAUAAGCUUGGGAAACUGGGUCUAAUACCGGAUAGGAGCCAUCUUUAGUGUGGUGGUUGGAAAGUUUUUCGGUGUAGGAUGAGCUCGCGGCCUAUCAGCUUGUUGGUGGGGUAAUGGCCUACCAAGGCGGCGACGGGUAGCCGGCCUGAGAGGGUGGACGGCCACAUUGGGACUGAGAAACGGUCCAA
rnacentral:rRNA from 1 species